rnacentral:rRNA from 1 species
AACGAACGUUAGCGGCGCGCUUAACACAUGCAAGUCGCACGAGAAAGCUUCCUUCGGGAAGUGAGUAAAGUGGCGCACGGGUGAGUAACACGUGGAUAUCUACCUUUUGGUGGGGGACAACAUCCCGAAAGGGGUGCUAAUACCGCAUAAGUCCACCUCGGUGGGGAAAGAUGGCCUCUUCUUGAAAGCUAUCGCCAGAUGAUGAGUCCGCGGCCCAUCAGCUUGUUGGUAGGGUAAAAGCCUACCAAGGCUACGACGGGUAGCUGGUCUGAGAGGAUGAUCAGUCACACUGGAACUGAGACACGGUCCAGACUCCUACGGGAGGCAGCAGUGGGGAAUAUUGCGCAAUGGGCGAAAGCCUGACGCAGCGACGCCGCGUGGGUGAUGAAGGUUUUCGGAUCGUAAAGCCCUGUGGGAGAGGGAAGAACAACUGGUGGGAGUAAUACCCCAUCGGCCUGACGGUACCUCUCCAGAAAGCACCGGCUAACUCCGUG